AAUGAAAAAGGCGCUCGGAGGCCUUUUCGGCUUGUUAGGAUCCUUUCCAGGUUUCUCCUUCUUCGCUGGUUUCGUGCUCACUUUAUCGGUUGCUUUCCUCUUUACAGAGAGCCUGAUACAUCAAAAAAUAAUAAUAAUAACGAGAUCUGAGUUACGAAACUCUAUAAUCGAAACGAAAACCCUUUAACACUACAGAAAUCUUUCAGAUCUGUUAAAAAUUCGCAGAAAACAAGGAAAAUGGCAACUAAACUCACCUGCUGUCGGCUUUUUUCACCGUUUCAGCCUUCGAUUUCCCUCCUUUCAUUGCAAGACCUGCCGGAAAAGGUUAGGGUUUCGGGAGAGAGAGAAACAAAGAGAGAAGUUUGGUGUGUUGUGUGGUGGAGUGAGGGCAAAGGGGGGGGAGAUAAGAAGGGGCGAGGGCGUGGGUG